rnacentral:rRNA from 1 species
AGACCCGAAACCCGGUGAUCUAGCCAUGGGCAGGUUGAAGGUUGGGUAACACUAACUGGAGGACCGAACCGACUAAUGUUGAAAAAUUAGCGGAUGACCUGUGGCUGGGGGUGAAAGGCCAAUCAAACCGGGAGAUAGCUGGUUCUCCCCGAAAGCUAUUUAGGUAGCGCCUCGUGAAUUCAUCUCCGGGGGUAGAGCACUGUUUCGGCUAGGGGGCCAUCCCGGCUUACCAACCCGAUGCAAACUGCGAAUACCGGAGAAUGUUAUCACGGGAGACACACGGCGGGUGCUAACGUCCGUCGUGAAGAGGGAAACAACCCAGACCGCCAGCUAAGGUCCCAAAGUCAUGGUUAAGUGGGAAACGAUGUGGGAAGGCCCAGACAGCCAGGAUGUUGGCUUAGAAGCAGCCAUCAUUUAAAGAAAGCGUAAUAGCUCACUGGUCGAGUCGGCCUGCGCGGAAGAUGUAACGGGGCUAAACCAUGCACCGAAGCUGCGGCAGCGACACUAUGUGUU